rnacentral:RNase_P_RNA from 1 species
CAGGAUGGUCGGAUGGCUACGUGCGCUUUGCGUGCGAGGAAAGUCCGAACACCCGUUUUAUCGCAAGAUAAGACGAUAAAGAGAGUCGCUAACGGCGACCAAGGAUACGUUUGAGGGUUCGCGGAAUUGGAGAAAUUCAUUCCAUGACUCCUGAUUCAAACUUUAGGGAAAGUGCCACAGAGACAAUACUAGCCUCGUGCAAACGGGGUGAAAGGUGAAAAGUGAUGCUGAGGUUACUCGAUCAGUCGGUUGAGUCAGCCACACAUCUCGCUCCAUGGCGACAUGGAUGCGUGGUAAACCCUCUCUGGUGAAAGAGCAAAUUUGGUAGCUCGAUGGAGCCCUUCAGCAAUGUUGGGACUAGAUAGAUUGCCAUCUCCCUUUGCGAGUUCGUAGAGGUAGACAAAAUUCGGCUUACAGACCAGCCCUGGGAC